CUGGCCCAAAGUCAAAGGAGGCAUCAGAAGUCUAGUUUAAUAUGCUUCACAGAGAAAUUGUUGCACCAGUAUAUUUCAGACAGCUACAUUUCCUUUGAGGGCUUUUAUGCUGUUCAGGCUGCCGGAGACUGCAGCGCUAGCAGUAGGAGGAAAGCAAAGGAGACUUGCUGCUCUUGUUAAUAACCGCUUACGUAACCCUGCUCACAUCAACAUCAAAGAGCAUAUUUGUUGCCAAGAGUUUGAACUGUAUCCUUUGGGUACACCCCAAAAACUCUGUUUCCUUGAUGUGGUCUCGCUUUUCACUUCUGUCCCACUGGAGACGGUCAGAAAAUGACUACAGCAAGACAGCUCCUUAGCAAACAGAACCAGCUGUGCCACCAAUCAGAUUUGCAUUACCCCCACAUAUUUUAGAUACGCCGAGGGUUUCUACAGACAAAAACAUUGAUGUGCCACGUGCUCCCCAGCGUCACCCAGUACAGCAAACCUCUACAUGGACGAAGUGGAAAGUAAAGCUCCUGGCUCUUUCAAAGGGACAACACCUAGCCACUGGUACAGAUGGGUGCAUGACACCUGGCUCAAAAGCAAACCAAAGAAAUAAAAGCCUUCACUGUUCACAACAACUCAGUGGAAGAUGCAAAAGAUAAUAGUUUGCCGGAAGCCCCCACACACAAACCAGCACCUCCUCUUUGACUCCCACUGACCUUUGGAACACAAACUUGGAGUCAUCAGGACCUGCAACGCCAGUCAGAAAAACGUUCCCUCUAGAGAAAGAAAAGGAACACACACAUGUAAAGAAAGCUCUUACAACACGUGGUUAUCCCAACUGGGCCUUCAUCAAAUCAGUAAAGCUGCACAGAGAGAAGGUCAGAUGCCAACUAGAAGGAAACAGACGGACAAAUGGAACAACAUCCCUUAUGUAGGAGCGAUUUUGAGAUCUCUCCCCAGACGCCUCACUCUCUCACAUCUUUCAUCAAGUGAUCUCAACAGCUGGAUGCCUCUCUGAGCCUGACUCUACCUGUGGUCUCUUCAGUUAAAGGAAAUGCUGCUAUUGCUCAUUGUGUCAUUAUUGGGAUCAUUUCUUUGGUUUAUGUAAAGUGUACCUUAUAAUAAUAAAGCAUUGUGAGAUGACUGCCUUUGUCAACUAGUACUACAUAGUAUUUUUUUUAACUGUCAGUAUAUAAACAGAAUAAUUAUAUGAAAUAAAUACAAGCAGAUCAACAAAAUAAAGAAAAACUGAG
ensembl:lncRNA